rnacentral:misc_RNA from 1 species
AUCAAAUGAUACUGUAGAUG